rnacentral:rRNA from 1 species
AAAUCGAUUCCCUGAGUAGCGGCGAGCGAAACGGGAAGAGCCCAAACCAACAAGCUUGCUUGUUGGGGUUGUAGGACACUCUAUACGGAGUUACAAAAGAACAUGUUAGACGAAUCAUCUGGAAAGAUGAAUCAAAGAAGGUAAUAAUCCUGUAGUCGAAAACAUAUUCUCUCUUGAGUGGAUCCUGAGUACGACGGAGCACGUGAAAUUCCGUCGGAAUCUGGGAGGACCAUCUCCUAAGGCUAAAUACUCUCUAGUGACCGAUAGUGAACCAGUACCGUGAGGGAAAGGUGAAAAGUACCCCGGAAGGGGAGUGAAAGAGAACUUGAAACCGUGUGCUUACAAGUAGUCAGAGCCCGUUAAUGGGUGAUGGCGUGCCUUUUGUAGAAUGAACCGGCGAGUUACGAUCUGAUGCAAGGUUAAGCAGCAAAUGUGGAGCCGCAGCGAAAGCGAGUCUGAAUAGGGCGUUGAGUAUUUGGUCGUAGACCCGAAACCAGGUGAUCUACCCUUGGUCAGGUUGAAGUUCAGGUAACACUGAAUGGAGGACCGAACCGACUUACGUUGAAAAGUGAGCGGAUGAACUGAGGGUAGCGGAGAAAUUCCAAUCGAACUUGGAGAUAGCUGGUUCUCUCCGAAAUAGCUUUAGGGCUAGCCUCAAGUGAUGAUUAUUGGAGGUAGAGCACUGUUUGGACGAGGGGCCCCUCUCGGGUUACCGAAUUCAGACAAACUCCGAAUGCCAAUUAAUUUAACUUGGGAGUCAGAACAUGGGUGAUAAGGUCCGUGUUCGAAAGGGAAACAGCCCAGACCACCAGCUAAGGUCCCAAAAUAUAUGUUAAGUGGAAAAGGAUGUGGCGUUGCCCAGACAACUAGGAUGUUGGCUUAGAAGCAGCCAUCAUUUAAAGAGUGCGUAAUAGCUCACUAGUCGAGUGACACUGCGCCGAAAAUGUACCGGGGCUAAACAUAUUACCGAAGCUGUGGAUUGUCCUUUGGACAAUGGUAGGAGAGCGUUCUAAGGGCGUCGAAGCAUGAUCGCAAGGACAUGUGGAGCGCUUAGAAGUGAGAAUGCCGGUGUGAGUAGCGAAAGACGGGUGAGAAUCCCGUCCACCGAUUGACUAAGGUUUCCAGAGGAAGGCUCGUCCGCUCUGGGUUAGUCGGGUCCUAAGCUGAGGCCGACAGGCGUAGGCGAUGGAUAACAGGUUGAUAUUCCUGUACCACCUAGUAUCGUUUUAAUCGAUGGGGGGACGCAGUAGGAUAGGCGAAGCGUGCUGUUGGAGUGCACGUCCAAGCAGUAAGGCUGAGUGUUAGGCAAAUCCGGCACUCAUAAGGCUGAGCUGUGAUGGGGAGAGGAAAUUGUUUCCUCGAGUCGUUGAUUUCACACUGCCGAGAAAAGCCUCUAGAUAGAUAACAGGUGCCCGUACCGCAAACCGACACAGGUAGUCAAGAUGAGAAUUCUAAGGUGAGCGAGCGAACUCUCGUUAAGGAACUCGGCAAAAUGACCCCGUAACUUCGGGAGAAGGGGUGCUCUUUAGGGUUCACGCCCAGAAGAGCCGCAGUGAAUAGGCCCAAGCGACUGUUUAUCAAAAACACAGGUCUCUGCUAAACCGUAAGGUGAUGUAUAGGGGCUGACGCCUGCCCGGUGCUGGAAGGUUAAGAGGAGUGGUUAGCUUCUGCGAAGCUACGAAUCGAAGCCCCAGUAAACGGCGGCCGUAACUAUAACGGUCCUAAGGUAGCGAAAUUCCUUGUCGGGUAAGUUCCGAC